AGCCUAUGUUUUAUGUAACUCAGACUUAACGUAUUAAAGUAUCUCAGCCGUGAGGCAAACAAAUGAUAACAUUGUUUACAAACUCAGCCGUGAAGCAAACAAAUGAUAACAUUGUUUACAAACUCAGCCGUGAAGGAAACAAAUGAUAACAUUGUUUAGUAACUCAGUUGUAAAGUGUAAAGUAACUCAGCCGUGCAGUCGUAAUGUAUAAAGUAACUCAGCCGUAAAGUGUAAAGUAACUCAGCUAACUCAUCAUUGUUUAUACCACAACGAAGAUUAUCACUCACCCACUUUCAUUAUUAAUGGGACGUUUCCACUUGCUUGAUUGGACUGAGUCGUCGAUUAAUGGUGGCGCGUGUUUAAAAUAUCGAGGCUAAUUAUUACUUUAACUCAGUCAACGAUAUAAGAAUAUCGAGGCUAAUUAUUACUCCCUCCGUUCGUUUAUAAUUGAUGGAUUACAUAUCUGCACGUAAACUAAGAAAUCUGAACGUUUUGCAAUGCACGU
rnacentral:lncRNA from 1 species